rnacentral:rRNA from 1 species
AUGGCCGCCGGCGACGGCAGCACCCAAGGGACCUCGUCGGUGGCAGGGCAGUGGUCCGAGCUCCCCCAUGAUCUCCUCGCCAUGGUCUAUAUCAGGUUCGCCUUCCCCGCCGACCGCGUCCACUUCGCCGCCGUGUGCGCUUCGUGGCGGGCCGUCGCUUCGACGCACCCACCACCAUCACCACCCUAUACCCCGUGGCUCAUACUCGAUCCACGUGACGGCGACGAAACUAGACACUUGUAUUGCCCCCAUGACGGCACGGUCCUGCCCCGCGUCCUUCUCCCGAGCAAGGCUGCCGCUAGGUGCUUCAUCGGUGGUUACGACGGCGGAUGGGUCGCCUUGUCGGAUGCGCCGCUCGGGAUCGUGAACCUCUUCUCGGGCGCUCAGGUGCCGCUCUCCGCGGAGCAAAGGAGGAUCGUCAGUGAACGCGGAGAUCUGCGGAAGGUCAUUUUUUCUAAGGCACCCACCUCGAGUGGUUGUAUCCUCGCCGCCAUCACCGAUAAGCCUGGUGUCACGAUAUGCAAGGUUGGAUGCCGGGAGAAAGGUUGGAUAAUACAAGAGCUUCGUGGGCACGACAGGCUCGUGGAUAUCACCUUCUACAAUGGCGAGCAUUACGGGGUCACACGGCAUGGUGACAGGCUCGUCAAGUUUGAGAUUACCAUGGAUAGCGAGUGGGCACCGAUGCGCAUAGAUGUCCACCCGCUAAAUAUGCAGAAUCGCUUUUCACAUCCAUACUCUGAUGAGUAUCCCAAGUACUCCCUCCGUCCGGAAAUAUUUGUCAUCAAAAUGGAUGAAAAUGGAUGUAAUUACAACUAA